rnacentral:lncRNA from 1 species
UCACGAAUUUUUUUGCAAUCUAAAUAAUUAAAAAGAGUGAUGGUUUGAUGAAGAGAUACAACACUUGAGCCAAAUUAUUACAAAUACAACAAUUCAAUCAGAUUCAAACUUAACAAAAGCUUAUGCUUAUAACAAAAGAAGACUUUUAGCUCAAAAACGCAAGCACAAACGGAGAUUUGUGGCAUUGAUUUUGAUAAGGUUUUAGUGAAGCUUAAUGAAUUCUCUACAACUCUCUUACACAACUCUUCUAAUUGAGCAUUCAUAAAAGAAAC